GCCCCCGUAGCUCAAUGGACAGAGCGCCUGACUUCGAAUCAGUAGGUUCCGAGUUCGAAUCUCGGCGGGGGCGCCA
rnacentral:tRNA from 1 species